GACGAACGCUGGCGGCGUGCUUAACACAUGCAAGUCGAACGGAAAGGCCCUGCUUUUGUGGGGUGCUCGAGUGGCGAACGGGUGAGUAACACGUGAGUAACCUGCCCUUGACUUUGGGAUAACUUCAGGAAACUGGGGCUAAUACCGGAUAGGAGCUCCUGCUGCAUGGUGGGGGUUGGAAAGCUUCGGCGGUUGGGGAUGGACUGGCGGCUUAUCAGCUUGUUGGUGGGGUAGUGGCUUACCAAGGAGUGGACGGGUAGCCGGCCGGGGAGGGGGGCGGGCGACAUGGGGAGGAGGGAGGCACCGAGCCUCCUCCGGGGGGAGACAGUGGGGAAGAUUAUUGAAUGGGGGGAGGCACGCUGCAGCAGCGCCGCGGCGGGAACGAGGGCCUUCGGUGUGUAAACCAGUUCCGCUUUGGGCGAAGAGGAGUGACCGGAAAUGAGGAAAAAGGCCCGGCUAACCCCGUG
rnacentral:rRNA from 1 species